ACCCAAUAUGUUUUUAAACUUUUCUUAAUAUAAUACAUUAAGAAACUUUUUGCUCAAACUUAAACCCAUUAAACUUUUCUUUUUGCUCAAACAUAAACCCAUUUUCCCACAAAUAUCCCAAACCUAGCUAUUUCCUCCAACCCAUGAUGCAAUCCUCUGAAAACCCUCUUAUUUUUCCCCCCAUUCAUCUCUGAAAAAUCCAAACCCAAAUUGAAGGAAGAGAUCAGAAAUUGCUAAAAGUUAUCAAAAGAGCAAAGGCAUCAGAAAUUGAUAAAAGAUUUCAAGGAGCGAAGGCAGCGAGAAAUUAUAGCGAAGGCGGCGAGAAAUUGCUAAAGUUAAAAAGCAUUAAGGCAGCAAUUACAGGUGCGAGAAAUCGUCUUCAACUGCGAGCAAUUUUCAAUCCAGAAGGCACUCUGUUAGAAACCUAUUUCAAGUGUCCCUCCCAGCCAAAAAGAAAAAGAGGUCGUACUCAAAUGCAAAGUGUUCACGGAAGGAAAGAGCGAAUAGUAGUCGUGCUAAAUGAGUGUAAUCAAUUCAUUGUACUGAUACAGUUGUAAAAGAGUUGGGUAGCUUCCUCGGCACAAUCACAAGGAGUGGAACUUUUUGUCCUCUUAAUGUAUUUAAUUGGAGGAAACUAGACACAAAAGAUGAUAUGUGGAAUAUAUCAAGGAACAAUAUGACAUUCCCGACGAGGCGAAACCAUGAGUUUUUGAAUCCAUUCAGACUGCUUGGAGAAAGUAUAAGAACCAGUUCAAGAAAAAGCAUUUUGAAGCCUAUGAAUAUGACAACCUUCGAAUGGAGAACAGGCCGGCAGAUGUUCCAGAAUCUAUCUUUAAGGAUCUUCUUACAUACUGGAAUUCUGAUCCCCUUAAGGUGAAGUAGAUCAAGAAAUGGAAGAUGAAGGCAGUGAAGAUCUGGACCUUACUUAAGAUAAAUUUUGAAUUGCUAUAGAUGAAUGUUCUAGGAAUCUUUUGUUUAUCAAAAAUUUGAAACUUACUCUCUUGAAAUGUAUAUUAAAGUUAUGCACUUGGGGUAACAUUUUGAUUUAUGGAUAUUAUUAGCUUGUUGGACA